GACGAACGCUGGCGGCGUGCUUAACACAUGCAAGUCGAACGAUGAACCCGGAGCUUGCUCCGGCGGAUUAGUGGCGAACGGGUGAGUAACACGUGAGUAACCUGCCCUUGACUCUGGGAUAACUGCGGGAAACUGUAGCUAAUACCGGAUACGACCCUCGGCGGCAUCGCCAGGGGGUGGAAAGAAUUUCGGUCAAGGAUGGACUCGCGGCCUAUCAGCUAGUUGGUGAGGUAACGGCUCACCGAGGCGCCGACGAGUAGCCGGCCUGAGAGGGGGACCGGCCACACGGGGACGAAGACCCGACCCAGACCCCUACGGGGGGCAGCAGUGGGGAAUAUUGCACAAUGGGCGGAAGCCGGAGGCAGCAACGCGGCGUGAGGGAUGACGGCCUUCGGGUUGUAAACCUCUUUUAGUAGGGAAGAAGCGAAAGGAACGGUACCUGAAGAAAAAGCACCGGCUAACUACGUGCCAGCAGCCGCGGUAA
rnacentral:rRNA from 1 species